rnacentral:rRNA from 1 species
AGAGUUUGAUCAUGGCUCAGAUUGAACGCUGGCGGCAGGCUUAACACAUGCAAGUCGAGCGGGGGAAGGUAGCUUGCUACUGGACCUAGCGGCGGACGGGUGAGUAAUGCUUAGGAAUCUGCCUAUUAGUGGGGGACAACAUCUCGAAAGGGAUGCUAAUACCGCAUACGUCCUACGGGAGAAAGCAGGGGAUCUUCGGACCUUGCGCUAAUAGAUGAGCCUAAGUCGGAUUAGCUAGUUGGUGGGGUAAAGGCCUACCAAGGCGACGAUCUGUAGCGGGUCUGAGAGGAUGAUCCGCCACACUGGGACUGAGACACGGCCCAGACUCCUACGGGAGGCAGCAGUGGGGAAUAUUGGACAAUGGGGGGAACCCUGAUCCAGCCAUGCCGCGUGUGUGAAGAAGGCCUUAUGGUUGUAAAGCACUUUAAGCGAGGAGGAGGCUACUUUAGUUAAUACCUAGAGAUAGUGGACGUUACUCGCAGAAUAAGCACCGGCUAACUCUGUGCCAGCAGCCGCGGUAAUACAGAGGGUGCGAGCGUUAAUCGGAUUUACUGGGCGUAAAGCGUGCGUAGGCGGCUUAUUAAGUCGGAUGUGAAAUCCCCGAGCUUAACUUGGGAAUUGCAUUCGAUACUGGUGAGCUAGAGUAUGGGAGAGGAUGGUAGAAUUCCAGGUGUAGCGGUGAAAUGCGUAGAGAUCUGGAGGAAUACCGAUGGCGAAGGCAGCCAUCUGGCCUAAUACUGACGCUGAGGUACGAAAGCAUGGGGAGCAAACAGGAGUUAGAUACCCUGGUAGUCCAUGCCGUA